ensembl:lncRNA
CUGAAACAGUCACUGAUCCCAACACUAAGCAGAAAAGCCUCUCUGGGGUGUUAGGGAUCAUAUGAUUAUAUGAGGUUGGGACAAAAUCCUGGAGAAACAAAAGCAGAAGCUCUCAGGGACAGAAAUAAUUAAAGCAAGAACUAGGAUUUUGAUGAAAAUGCCCUGGAGUUCUGAUGUGACUUUCUCUAUCCUGAUCCAAGGGGUAGUGAGGUGGCACAAGCUGCCCAUAGAAGCUGGGCAUGUCCCAUCCCUGAAGGCAUUCAAGGCCUAUGAUUCUGUGAUCAAAGGAAGGGUGAAAGGAAAAUUCUAAGCUCUACUGAAAUCUUGGCAUACACUUCCCAGGAUGGAAACCAGUCCUAGUGUGAAGUGUCACAGAAUGAACGGGGAAGAUGCAGGAGAAGGUACUUUUGUAAGAUUGGGCCCUCAAGUAACCCUGGUGAUUGCUUUCUCCCUUGGAAGAAAACUUUUGUGAAAAUAAAUUGCUCAAUCUACAAUUUGUCCCUAUAGUGUUCCACUGUUUACGGAUCAUUUACAACACUCUCGUGAUCACCUUGCUAAAAAUACUUUGAAAUAUCAAAAUUGACAUUAUUUGUGUAAUGAGGUUUGGGGUUUAAUGGCUCCAUUCACACUUGAGGAAUUGCAGGCUUUUCUGAUAGGCAUCUAUUAAGCAAAAUGAUUUGCAACCUCUGCUUGAGGGGAG